rnacentral:sRNA from 19 species
GUCAACUACUCUUCAAUAAAUUGAGGAGCAUACAGCCGCGUGGCUGCUAUGUUGCAUCUUAGGAUGCGGUAGUUGAACAGGCUGGCUGAUACGGCUGCGCACUCCGGGAUGCCACUCCCAGUCCCGGGCACUGAU